AUUGAACGCUGGCGGCAGGCCUAACACAUGCAAGUCGAGCGGAUGACGGGAGCUUGCUCCUUGAUUCAGCGGCGGACGGGUGAGUAAUGCCUAGGAAUCUGCCUGGUAGUGGGGGACAACGUUUCGCAAGGAACGCUAAUACCGCAUACGUCCUACGGGAGAAAGCAGGGGACCUUCGGGCCUGGCGCUCUCAGAUGAGCCUAGGGCGGAGUAGCUAGUUGGUGGGGUAAUGGCCUACCAAGGCGACGAUCCGUAACUGGUCUGAGAGGAUGAGCAGUCACACUGGAACUGAGACACGGUCCAGACUCCUACGGGAGGCAGCAGUGGGGAAUAUUGGACAAUGGGCGAAAGCCUGAUCCAGCCAUGCCGCGUGUGUGAAGAAGGUCUUCGGAUUGUAAAGCACUUUAAGUUGGGAGGAAGGGCAGUAAGUUAAUACCUUGCUGUUUUGACGUUACCGACAGAAUAAGCACCGGCUAACUCUGUGCCAGCCGCCGCCGUAAUAC
rnacentral:rRNA from 1 species